rnacentral:lncRNA from 1 species
AAAAAAGGCUCUUCAUUUCUCUCUCUUCUUAGGCAAGACUACCUCUUCCUUCUUUGUGAUUUUAGGGGCUAAUUUUCUGAAAAUAAUCUCAGAAAACAGCAUGAAAUAUUCAAGAUCUAUAUGGGUAUUUCGCUAAGUUGGUCUUGGUUGAGUCAAAUCCGUGUGACUCUUUGUUGCCCACUUUUAUUACGAAAAACUUAAUGUUUUUCAGCCUAUUAAUGUAUAAUAUAGAGGCUGAUUUGUAUAGUUCCUUGGUGGAAAGUAAUAUUCUGUGAAAGAGCACCCAUUUUUUGUGGUUCGAGGAGGGUAGUUCGGUUUUGGUGAUCUAUGUGAUCCGGGUUUUGAAUCCUUAGUGGAGUGAGGCUUGAUUUGUGCCUUAUUUUAAAGAUAAGUCUUGGUGACUUUAAUUGUUGUAUUUUCUGGAACAUUACUGUAUAUUUGAUGCCUGAUUUUUGGGCUUUAUAGUGCAACCGAGUUUUAUCCAUUUUAAUGGAUGCUCAAUAGGGGAUUAGGCGUUAGAAGUGGUCAUCGAACCUCUGAGGGUUCGACCAAAAAAUUCUCUAUGUUCAUUUAUAUAUUCUGCACUUUAUUUUCAGUUUAUGAUUGUGGUUUUGAAAUCUUGGUUAAUAUUUAGUAUCUCUCGAAUUUUCAGUGGUAUUAGAGCAACCUGGACUACGAGAGCUUUGUGAUUUCUUGAUUAAACAUGAUUUCUGAAACCUACAGUAAAUAUUGGCCAGUGGAAAUUGAGUUUUAUCAAACUCAUUGGUGAAAUCUUUCUUGCAUUUUAUAAUUAAUCUUUACAAUAGGGUCUCCAAAAUUUUCCCUUGAUUUACCUUGCACUAACAAAACCUAUUGUGGCUCAUCUUUGUCCAAAGACUCAAGAAUACUAGUAGGAGUGCAAUUGGAAGGUCUUGCUGGAGAAGUUAGUUGAGGCACAGGAUUGACAUCUCUGUUCUUUGUGAUUCUGCCUUCUAUACUUAGUGUUAAGUUUUUACUAUUUUGUGAAAACUUGAAAUAAGUGCAUUGGUUACUGACCCCAAAUCCCUUGUUCUACCUACAGUAUUCUUGUUGUAUGUCCCUGUGUGUUCUUGAACUCAAACUUGUAUUUUGUGAACUAUCUUAGUAAAUCUUGUCAUGGCCUCUGCUAAGUUUGAAGUGAGCAUGUAUGAUGGGAGGGGAGACUUUAAUAUGUGAAGCUAGAAAAUGAGGGCUAUCUUGAUGCAAAUGAAAUGUGCUAAAGCCUUAGAUAAUUCUUGACCUGCUGAAAUGUCUGUUGCAAAAAGAAUUGAGUUAGAAGAAAUAGCAUGGAGCACUAUUUUCUUGUACUUUUCAGACAAUGUGAUCUGGACUAUAGGUAAAACUAAAUCUGUUGAAGAGUUGUUGACUAAAUUGAAAGCCCAAUAUGAGCUAAAAACUGUUCCAAACAAAUGUUUUUUAUUAAAACAAUUCUUUUCUUUCAAAAUGGAUUCUUCUGUUGACUUAGAUGAGAACUUGGACAGAUUUACAAAAUUGACUCAGGACCUUGCCAACUGUGAUGAGAAAUUAUCAGAAGAUCAACUGGCUAUGGUCAUGUUAAACUCCAUUAGUGAUAGGCGUAAAGACCUUAAAAAUGCCUUAGAAUAUGGAAGAGACAAGCUUACCACAAAAAUCAUUAUAAAUGUUUUAAGAAUUAGGGUUCUUCAAUUAAAAUUAGAUUCUAUCAACCAACCAAGUGGAGAAAAUCUUUUGAUAAAAGCCAAAAAUAUUGGUAAAUCUAAUUUUUAUUCAAAAUUUCAAAAUGACUCUAAGAAAAGAAACAAUGAUAAAAUGAAAUUCAAAACUAAGGGAAAGGGAAAGAAAUUUUAUUACUAUGGUAAGUUAGGUCACUUUGCAAAAUAUUGCUACAAAAAGUAAAAUGAUUUAGAAGGAAAUAAGUUAAAUGAGGGUAAUGCUAUUUUGUCCUAUGAUAAGCAAAAAUUUGAUAACGGCCUGAUUCUUGUAAAUGUUGAAAAGAACCUAUAUCAAGAAUGGAUUCUUGAUUCAAGUUGUUCUUUCCACAUGUGCCCUAAUAAAAACUACUUUUUGGACUUUGAACAAACAAAAGGAGGCCAAGUUAUCAUGGGAAACAACAUGACCUACAAAGUGAAAGGUAUUGGAACCAUAAAAUUACUCUUAGAAAAUGGCAGAAUUUUACUAUUAAAAGAGGCCAGAUUUGUUCCUGAAUUAGAGAGAAACCUUGUGUCUCUAGGAAUGUUGGAUGACAUGGAGUUUGACUUAAAAUUGGAUCAAUGACACAUAAAAAUCUUUAGGGAUGGUGAUUUGAUCACUCUAUCCUAAAGAGACAUGGUUUAUACUUUUUAAAUGCAAAACCUUUAUUGGUCCUUUCAACUGCAGUUUUAGAUGAUAAUUUUAAUCUUUCAAAAUUGUGGCAUUGUAGACUUGGUCACAUUGGUAAAAAAGGUUUAAAGGCUUUACAAAAUAAAGGUGUAUUUGGAAAAUCAAAUAUUGGUGAUUUGUCUAAAUGUGAACAAUGUUUGAUUGGAAAGCAAGUUAAUAUACCGUUUGUUUCCAAUUUUUUGUCCAUUAAAAUGAAAAAUAUGACCGUUAUCCAUCACAUCAAAUCAUCAUAUUUGACUUUCUAUCUUUUAUGUGGAACACAUAACGGCUAUAUUUUUCAUUCUCGUUUUUAUAUUAAUGUGUAACAAACGGGGCAUAAGUUACCUUUUCCAACUAGUACUCAUAAAUCAAAGCAAAUUGUAUAAUACUUACAUGCUGAUUUGUGGGGCCUGCAUCCACCCCUACAUCAUUUGGUUACAAGUAUUACUUGCUUAUUAUUGAUGAUUUCUCAGGAAAAAUUUGGGUAUUUUUUUUAAAACUAAAGAUGAAACAUUUACCACAUUUAAAAAUUGGAAAACCUAAAUUGAAAAUCAAAACCUUGAGAACCGACAAUGGUCUAUAAUUUUGCAAUUAUGAGUUUAAUGAGUUUUGAAGUUGCAUGGCAUUUUAAGACAUAGAACUGUGACCUACACACCCCAUCAAAAUAGCAUUGCAGAAAGAAUGGAUAGGACUUUGUUGAAUAAAGUUAGAUGCAUACUUUUGAGUUCUGACUUGCCCAAAUUAUUUUGGGGUGAAAUUAUUAAAACUGUUGUAUAUUUGAUUAAUAGAAGUCCUACAAGUGCUUUAAAUUUUGAUGUGCCUGAAUCUGUGUGGACAUAAAAGUUUGUGAUCUAUUCCUACUUGAAAAUAUUUGGUUGUGCUGCAUAUGCUCAUCAAAACAUAGGGAAACUUGAACGUAGAUCCCUUAAAUGUGUGUUUUUGGGUUAUGCUGAAAAUGUAAAAGGAUAUAGGUUGUGGGUUUAUGGAGAAAAAGGUUACAAGGUUAUUACAAGAAAGGAUGUGAUCUUUAAUGAGUCGUGUAUGCCAUGUUUGGAAGGGAAAGAGAGAAAUUUGACUAAAAAUGAUGUCCAAAUUGAGGUGGAGCCUAUUAAAGUUGAUAAUACUAGUUCUGUCCCUUUAGAAACAGCAACUGAUGAGGCUGACCAGAAUGAAAACGACCAUGAUUUGGUUGAACCUGAGCAGUAUAAUGAUGAUAAUACACCUCUAGAUGAAUAUCAGCUCACAGCUCACUAGAGACAGGAAUAUGAGACAAAUUAGACCACCAGCUAGGUUUAAUAGUGAUGACUUUGUGUCUUUGUUCACUUAUCAAGAAGAAUCCGAAACUAAACCUAGUUCCUAUUAGAAAGGCUUAAAAUCGAAGGAUUCUAAGCGGUGGUUAAGUGCUAUGGAAUAAGAGAUGUCUUCCCUAUACAAAAAUAAAACUUGGGAAUUGGUUUGAUAGACCUAAAGAUAAGAAGCUAGUUGAUUGCAAGUGGAUUUAUAAGAUAAAGGAAGGGGAAGGUGAUACUAACAAUGUUAGAUACAAAGCUAGACUUGUUGCCAAGAGUUUCACACAAAAAGAGAGUGUGAACUAUGAUGAGAUUUUUCCCCCGUUGUUAAAUAUACAACUAUAAGACGUAUUCUUGCUUUGGUUGUGCAAUUUAAGUGGAAUCUUGAUCAACUAGAUGUAAAAACUGCAUUCUUAUAUGGUGAAUCGGAUGAAGUAAUCUACAUGAAACAGCCUUUAGGAUUUAUUAAAGGAAAUCCUGAAAAAACAGUGUGUUUGUUGAAAAAAUCAUUGUAUAGCCUAAAACAAGCUCUAAGACAAUGGUAUAAAAGAUUCAAUUUAUUUAUCUUGAAGCUUGGGUUUAGUAGAAGCAAUUAUGAUACAUUUCUUUAUUGUAAAGGAAAUGGAGGUAAAGAUUCUUUGUACCUUGUGCUUUAUGUUGAUGAUAUGCUUCUUGCUAGUGCCAAUAAAUCCGAAAUUGAUGAUAUCAAACACGAAUUAAAAUCAGAAUUUGAUAUAAAGGAUCUUGGUUCUGCUAAGAAAAUACUUGGCAUGCAUAUUAUAAGAGAUGAAAAAUCUGAUUACUUAUUUUUAUGUCAAGAAAAGUAUGUGAAUAAGAUCCUUAAGAAGUUUAAUAUGUUUGAUUGUAAACCUGUGGCUUUACCCCUUGCCAAUCACUUUAUUUUAACAUCUGAUUCGUGUCCAAAAAUUGAAGAUGAACUUGAAAGAAUGUCUAAAGUACCUUAUGCUAGUGCUAUUGGUUCAGUCAUGUACUUAAUGAUUUAUACCAGACCUGGUUUGGCUUUUAGUAUUAGUGUUUUGAGUAGAUUUAUAGGGAAUCCUGGUGAAACUCAUUGGAAAGCCUUGAACUGGUUAUUGAGAUACAUAAAGGGUUCAUCUAACUUGGGUUUGAUGUUUAAAAUGGACAAAGAGGGGGUAAUUUUAAAGGGUUAUACAAAUUCUAAUUUUGCUGGAAAUAGAGACAAUAGAAAAUCAACUUCAUCUUAUUUUUACACUCUGUGUGGUACUGUGAUAAGUUGGAAAUCUCAAUUACAAAAAAUUGUUGCUCUAUCUUCCACCGAGGCUGAAUAUAUUGCAGCCACUGAUGCCAUUAAAGAAGGCAUAUGGCUGCAUGGAUUAUUGACUGAACCUGGUUUUGUAGACACUAAUCCAUUACUAUAUUCUGACAAUCAAAGUGCAAUCCAUUUGAGUAAAAAUCCCAUGUUCCAUGAUAAAACAAAACAUGCUGAUGUAAAAUACCAUUUUAUAAUGAAUAUUAUUUUAAAAGGGUUAUUGAAAAUUAAUAAAAUACAUACUUUACAUAAUCCAUCCGAUAUAGGAACUGAGGUGAUACCUUUGAAUAAGUUUCAAAACUGUUUAAAGAUGUUAUCUAUUGACUCUUUUUAUUGAUUGUACAGGUACAAUAGAGCAAAUGAAAUUAUAAAUGUUGGUAAUGCUCCUGGCUGCACUAUAGGCUUAAAUUUUGGAAGCAAAGUAGAGAUUGUUGAGAAAGUGUUCCAAAAUUCAACUUGAAGAAACGUCUUUUAUGAAAUAGCAUUUUUUCUUUAGGUGAUGUUCCACGUGGCGGUUGAUUAUUGGCCACUACAUUAACUCCCGGAUUGUGCUACUUGAAACAAUAUGUGAGCCGUUGGAUUAAAUCUAUGACUGUGAUUUAAUCAGAAAAGUGACUGACUUAUGGGCUGAUAUUUCUUCAAAUAGAAAGGCUUUCUCUCUCUCUCAAGUCACAUUCACUCUCUCUCCGUCAGACGUCUCACUCUUAAGAAAAAGGGCUCUGCAUUUCUCUUUCUUCUUGUGCAAGACUACCUCUUCCUUCUUUGUGAUUUUAGGGGCUAAUUUUCUGAAAAUAAUCUCAGAAAACAGCAUGAAAUAUUCAAGAUCUAUAUGAGUAUUGUGCUAAUUUGGUCUUGGUUGAGUCGAAUCCGUGUGACUCUUUGUUGGCCGAUUUUUAUUGCAAAAACUUAAUGUUUUUCAGCCUAUUAUUGUAUAAUAUAGAGGCUGAUUUGUAUAGUUCCUUGGUGGAAAGUAAUAUUCUGUGAAAGAGCACCCAUUUUCUGUGGUUUGAAGAAGGCAGUUCAAUUUUAGUGAUCGGUGUGAUCCGGGUUUUGAAUCCUUAGUGGAGUGAGGCUUGAUUUGUG